rnacentral:lncRNA from 11 species
UUUUAAAGUCAAUCUGAAGGAUGGGAUUCCUCUCCCUGUCUUGGACACAAUGGUUCUUGUGCAGCCUACUAUUACAAUGUACCAGGGCUACUUGCUAAUUUCCACUGAUGCUAAGCUCAAGCCCACGAAUAUUUGGAAACACAAUCAUAUACGCACCUUCUGAUAUAUGGGAACACAGCUAUCAAUUGAAGGUCAGGCUGCUUUGGUUGUGAUUGAAGAGGGAAGAUGUGACAAAAAAAGAGACUGGUCUAUUAAAAAUGGGGAAAAGUUUGUGUUUUAGUACUUUGUAGCUCAGUAGUAGUAGUUCGUACUUUAUGCUGUAUUUCAGCAUUGUAAAUAUUCUUUUUUAAUGAUUGUAUGGAGAUUUUAGUUAAUAAAAGCUGG